UGGGGAAUAUUGCACAAUGGGCGCAAGCCUGAUGCAGCCAUGCCGCGUGUAUGAAGAAGGCCUUGGGUUGUAAAGUACUUUCAGCGGGGAGGAAGGCGCUGCGGUUAAUAACCGCGGCGAUUGACGUUACCCGCAGAAGAAGCACCGGCUAAUUCCGUGCCAA
rnacentral:rRNA from 1 species